rnacentral:rRNA from 1 species
GAUGAACGCUGGCGGCGUGCCUAAUACAUGCAAGUCGAGCGAACAGAUGAGGAGCUUGCUCCUUUGACGUUAGCGGCGGACGGGUGAGUAACACGUGGAUAACCUACCUAUAAGACUGGGAUAACUUCGGGAAACCGGAGCUAAUACCGGAUAACAUAUGGAACCGCAUGGUUCUAAAGUGAAAGAUGGUUUUGCUAUCACUUAUAGAUGGAUCCGCGCCGCAUUAGCUAGUUGGUAAGGUAACGGCUUACCAAGGCAACGAUACGUAGCCGACCUGAGAGGGUGAUCGGCCACACUGGAACUGAGACACGGUCCAGACUCCUACGGGAGGCAGCAGUAGGGAAUCUUCCGCAAUGGGCGAAAGCCUGACGGAGCAACGCCGCGUGAGUGAUGAAGGUUUUCGGCUCGUAAAACUCUGUUAUUAGGGAAGAACAAACGUGUAAGUAACUGUGCACGUCUUGACGGUACCUAAUCAGAAAGCCACGGCUAACUACGUG